CGGAGUAGCUCAGUGGCCAGAGCAGCCGACUUGUAAUCGGCAGGUCAGGGGUUCGACUCCCCUCUCC
rnacentral:tRNA from 1 species